GAAGCUAUAUAAUGAGAUAUUUACUUGAAAGAGAAGACAACAAGAUAUCUAUGGGGGAUUAUGGUAGAAGUUAUAUAAUGAUACGUGCCAGAUGGGGAUGUUACAACUUUUGAUUGAGAGGAUUAAAAUUCUUGAGUCUCAAUUUCAAAUAUUGAGAUUUGAUAUAUGAUUUGGGUACAAUAAUGACAAACAUCGAGUUCAUAUAGAUUCACCUUUGUGUUUCUUAAACACUUGAAUAUUGUUCAAAAUGUUGUGACAUUUGUUAAACAAUAUUAGGAAUUAAAUAUUAUUGCAAUUGGGUGCAAUUCCUUCUUUUUUACUUUGAUUCCUAAAUCAUAGGAUGUGAUCAAUGUCAUAUACUUUAGACCAACAGGGUACAAUAAUGACAAACAUCGAGUUCAUAUAGAUUCACCUUUGUGUUUCUUAAACACUUGAAUAUUGUUCAAAAUGUUGUGACAUUUGUUAAACAAUAUUAGGAAUUAAAUAUUAUUGCAAUUGGGUGCAAUUCCUUCUUUUUUACUUUGAUUCCUAAAUCAUAGGAUGUGAUCAAUGUCAUAUACUUUAGACCAAUUUACUUGAUCGGGUGUCAAUACAAAAACUUGGUGAAGCUUUUGGCAAAUCAGAUUUAAAUGGCUAUAGGAGAGGUUGGUGGCAAUUAACAAUAUUUAUUCAUUAAAAGUCAUCAUAUUCUUG
rnacentral:lncRNA from 1 species